ensembl:lncRNA
UAAAACAGGACCUGGUCUAAGGCACAGAAUGUGCUGUGUGCUGCGCUAAGUCGCUUCAGUCACGUCUGUCUGUUUGGGACCCCACCGACUAUAGCCCGCCAGGCUUCUCUGUCCAUGGAAUUCUCCAGACAAGAAUACUGGAGUGGGUUGCCAUCUCCUCCUCCAGGGAAUCUUCCGGACACAUCAUAAAAGCUGAAACUGAAGAGCAGAGAGAGGAAGCAAUCACUCACCUCGUGCUUCCUGCUGCUUCAGAGGAGAGGCACGCCUCAUUCCUUCCCCCGGUAACUGAAGCGUUUACCAAGUCUGUGUGCACCACCAUUCUGAUGGCGGCUCCAUCUGCGCGGACCUGGGCAGGGCCGCCUUCUUCAGGACCGGUGGAGCAUCGCCUGACUGCGAAUGGCCAGAGUGCCCGCCUGAUUGUGUUUCUGAAAAGAGCUAAAGCAGAAGAUGGAGGGGGAAGGCCUGGUCUCCUGCCACCUGCCAGAGGCCAUCUCCUUCCCCUGACCAGUCUUGUGUCUCUGGUCCCCUGGGGCCACCAUCAAGCCCGAUGACACACACGUUCCUCAGAGGGGACAAAGGUUCUAUCAUGCAGACAGCUGGACAAAGGCCACAGCAGAGGCAAAGAUUUUAACUCCGCUCAAUUUCCUCAGAGGGACAAUGAUUCUACCAAGUGGACAACUGGACAAAGGCCACAGCAGAGGCAAAUAUUUUAACUGCGCUUGAGUUCGGAGACCUGUGGAGCCAGCCAGACACCGGAACAGAGGAGCCGGAAUAGCAUUUCCCAGCAUUUCUCUGGCAACAAAUUUAAGAGACGAACAGCCACCAGACUGGCUGGCUUCCUGAGUUCAUGCUGGGACAGCCCCGCGUCCGGGCAAAAACCAUCAGGUCCUCACUGCCCUCAUCUCCUCGCCCUGGGUCUUCACCCUACAGGGGACCCUAUCUGUGCUGACAUCCAGUGAGGCUCAAAAAGCUCCAAAACCACUACUUCUCUGAGGUCCAGCUUGUCUCUGAACUCCGAUCAGCUCAUCACAACUCACUUUUCCUCCCUGAGUCCGUGAAAUCCUGUCUUACCGGAUCCCCAUCAGCACCUCCCAGGUGCUGGGUGCACGACUGAGGCGUCCUGAGGAAUAGGCAGGUGGUUUGCUGUGGCCCCUGUAGCCAAAAUGAUGCCUGGAUGUUGGAACGGCAGCCCAGACCCCAGGUCUGCCCUGCAUUUCCUGUGUUUCCUCCACUGUCCUGACCCAUAGCUCAACUUCCACUUUACAGACCAUGAGACUCAGUUUGGAAAGUCCAGCCCAUGCCAAUAGCCACAGAGUCGUAGACCAGAGACUGACGCUUGGGUCCCUCCCUGGUCAUUCUCCUUCAGUGACCUUCCCCACUCCCCAGUCAUAAAGGUGACAGUUCAGAGGACUGUCCCAUCACGUGAGUGGUUUAACAGGAGAAUCUGAGUUUACCUGUGUUCACACCUGCCAGGGGACCAGCAAUCUUGUUCAACUGCUGGUUGCACUUGCUGCGUGCAGACCCUGGCAUGGGCCAUCCCAUCUGGCCUGCUCCGCGUGAACCCAGAGCCUCUUUCUCGGCCUCCCAGGGCCCUGCCCGAGCUUGUCCAGCCCUGGAGCGGACACUCUUCUUCAGGCCCGGUCCCCUCUUCAGUGCACAUUAGAAGCUCUUUCGAAACUCCCAAUUUCAGAACUGAACAGAAAAGUGAUGACUAAAGAAUUCUGUGAAUGUUGCCUUUUGGCCAAGCAGCCCUGGGACGUCUCCAAGGCACAGAAGUAGCUCAUGCCCUGGGCUCGCCCAGGUUUGUGCGUGGUGAACCCGAGAUGGGAGAUGAAGGUGGUUUGGAGGGUGUGGGGUUAAGAUUUGGGCCACAAGACCACAUCAAAUAGUCGGUCCCCAAAUACUUUUUUCUGAAGUCCUGGCAUGGGAAGUCUGACUAGAUGUUCAUGAAAGUAGUCCCGAGAGUUAUGAAAAGAACAAGCGUGGUUGAAUUAUUGUUCACAUCCCCUGACCUGGGGUGGGGGUUCUGAUCUGGGGUAUGGGUGAGCAGAGACCUGUGAAGCCAAGCGUGUGAGGCCCUUGAUGGUUUCCAAAUAGGUGGUCAGUGCAGUUAUUAAUACCUGGUGGACCAGCGAGAAUUUGAGAGAAGGAAUCUGGGUUUCAUUGCUCAGUUUUGAAAAGCAUACCUUUUCUAAGAACUUGGCCAUUCUGGCUCUCAUUAAUUGCAUUCCUCAGGCUCAGAAAUCAUGGAAAUGCAUGCAAAAGCUUUGUUAGUUUUUCUCAGAACAGGAAGGAAUUCUUUGAGAUGAAAAGUAAACAGAACGAUUAAGAACAUCAACCUACAUUCACUUCUCUAUUUUUAAUUUUUGGGAGGAAAAAUACAAUACCCUCUUCACUUCCACUGAUAUAAGUAGCGCUUAUAAUGGAAUACAUGCUCUCCACUAUGGGCUUCCCAGCCGGUGAGUGGUAAAGAACCCGCCUGGCAAUGCAGAAGACACGAGACACAGGUUUGAUCCCUGGGUGGGGAAGAUCCCCGGGAGAAAAUGGCAACCGACUCCAGUAUUCUUUCCUGGGAAAUCCCAUGGACAGAGGAGCCUGGCGGGCUACAGUCUAUAGUGUGGCAAAGAGUUGGACACAACUAAAACGACUUAGCAUGCACACACGCAUGCUUUCCAUUAAACACAUCUAUGGAUCCAUGUCUGUGGGUAUAUCCCUGGCCUGUGAGAGCCACAAAUAUCUGUACCAAUAGAACCAAGUCUGCGUCACCAACUAACCCCUGGUCCGUUUUCCACUGGUGCCUUUGUCACCACAUGCUAAGAUAUACCCAACCCAAAGUUCAGUGGCGUUAAGUACAGUCACAAAUUGGCGCAACCACCACUCACCCCCAGAAUGUGCUCAUCCUCCCAAACAGAAAUUCUGUACCUGCUAACUCACCACUGCCCUGUCCAUAGUCCCUGAUACCCCCAUUCUACCUUCUGUCUUUCUGAAUCUGCCUGUUCUAGGGACCUCAGACUAGCGGAAUCAGACAGCAUUUGUCCCUUGUGACUGGCUUACUUCACUCAGCAUAAUGUCUUCAAAGUUCAUCCAUAUCAUAGCCGGGCAUCAGAAUUUUCUCCGUUUUCACGGCUGAAUAAUAUUCCAUUGUCUCGAUGGGCCACAUUUUGUUUAUUUGUUCAUCUGUAGAUGGAGACUUGGUUGCUUCCACCUUAUAUCUCUUGUGAACAAUGCUUCUAUAAACAUGGGGUACAAAUAUCUGUUUGAAUUCCUACUGUUGAUUAUUUGGGGUUUAUACCCACAGUGGAUGGCUAG